AAAGGAAUAGACGGGGGCCCGCACAAGCGGCGGAGCAUGCGGAUUAAUUCGAUGCAACGCGAAGAACCUUACCUGGGCUUGACAUGUUCCCGACGACGGCAGAGAUGUCGUUUCCCUUCGGGGCGGGUUCACAGGUGGUGCAUGGUCGUCGUCAGCUCGUGUCGUGAGAUGUUGGGUCAAGUCCCGCAACGAGCGCAACCCUCGCCCCGUGUUGCCAGCGCGUCAUGGCGGGAACUCACGGGGGACCGCCGGGGUUAACCCGGAGGAAGGUGGGGAUGACGUCAGAUCAUCAUGCCCCUUACGUCCAGGGCUUCACGCAUGCUACAAUGGCCGGUACAGCGGGAUGCGACAUGGUGACAUGGAGCGGAUCCCUGAAAACCGGUCUCAGUUCGGAUCGGAGCCUGCAACCCGGCUCCGUGAAGGCGGAGUCGCUAGUAAUCGCGGAUCAGCAACGCCGCGGUGAAUGCGUUCCCGGGCCUUGUACACACCGCCCGU
rnacentral:rRNA from 1 species